AGAGAGUUAGUAUCCAUUGAUACAAAGGUUGGUUCAUUAGUUUUUUUAAAAUUGAAAGGUCCAUAUUUAUGCAUUCAACUUUGAUUUUUUUUAUGCUUCUGAAUUUUUUUCAUUUCAUAAAUAAAAGUUAUUUACUUUUUUAAUAUUGAAUACAAUUUGUUUGAAUUUUUAUUUUUUAAAAUUUGUCUAUAUCUCUCCCCCUCUCCCUCUAUGUUUUUC
rnacentral:lncRNA from 1 species